UCUCUGCCUCAACUGUGAGAGCGCCAGACACCAGCUACACAGGAGUGAAUGGUUGUACUGGUGGCCAGUCAACAGGGACAAUCCUUGAGGCACUCGGAUGAAGAAACGCAGAGCCAGUUUGGAGAAGGAGCAUGUUGAAGGCCAGGUCUGUGUGACCACAGUCAUGUUUAGAUCUAAUGUAUCUCGAUGGCGACCCUCAUCUUGUACAAUCUCUCCAGUCUGUCUGCCCUGGAAUGCCGCCACUGACAGCGACUCCUCUCUGGAACAACAGGGAAUUAUUUGGAAAGGGUGGCAAAAUCAACACACCGUCUGUCGAUUAUCCCCUUGCUAUUUUGGGUCCUUUGGCUCGGCUGUGUGUUCAGAGCAUCAAAGACCUGUCGGGAGACGUCGGCCUGAAGGGAGGCGAUGCACAGUUUGAUCAAACAUUUGGGUGCCUCUAUGUUCAGUGUCAUGGGCCACUUUUUCAAAGACAGUACAUAAUAAGAGAAACAAUGGGGAGAAAUCAACCCCUUUGGAGCGAGGGAUCAAUGCGUGUUUGCCCAUUCCCAUUUUUCACCAAACAGGAUUCUGCAUUAAGGUGCAUUUGGUUGAAAAGCAACCAAGAACAUUAUUUGGCACAUUUCAAAGGAAGACAAUCCUUUCAUCCUUGUCUGCACAAUUCCUUUUCCUGGGAUUAUCUGUGAGGCCUCAGCCAGGAAAAUAUAUACGUAUUUUUGUUUACAUUUUCCAUAUUGCGUUAAUAUAAGAGGCUACAAAUGGUCCAACACUUAUCAAGUGUCACGCAGACACAGCAUGUGACAUGACAUUUGAUAAAGGAUCUGGAGGAAAUGUUAGUGUCUUUCCUGCGCUGCUGUUUUGAUUUGGACUCCAUCACUCAGCGUUUGUUAUGGGACUGUAUGCCUCUGCCUGGCCUGAUAAUACCCUUUCUCUACUCAGUCCCUUUCUCGACUGUCACGUCUGUUUGACACAAAGUGCUGCCACACGGAUGGGGGUUCACCCAUCCCUUGAAAGCCCAGCUGUCAGUGGUUACAUAAUAGCACAGCCUUGUUGGGCUCGCCGGACGGCUUUGUGCGCCUGUCACUGAAUGUGAUUGUGGGUAAGAUUAAGCGGCGGGUGAGAAGCCACAGCUAAGGGGUUCCUACCUGGUCUCCAGCUGAGACGACAGAACAAACAGAAGCAGAGGUUUAGGAGAGUGCUUUAAUGUGGCUCAGCAAGAAUCGUAUCCUCAUUCACGACGUGCAUUGUGUUGAUGAACAGUGUUUCUUGCUUACAUGCUUGAUGUUUGUCUGCAAGUGAAAAGCUCAGCUGCAUGGGUGGCAGAUGAACUGAGCACUCAGAAGUGAUAUAUUUACACAAAUGACUGUAACCAACUGCUAUUUUUACAUAGACUCAACGCUGCAAUGCAAUUCCCCUGCAAAGAUUUCGCAAAAA